rnacentral:rRNA from 1 species
GGCGUGCUUAACACAUGCAAGUCGAACGGAAAGGCCCUGCUUUUGUGGGGUGCUCGAGUGGCGAACGGGUGAGUAACACGUGAGUAACCUGCCCUUGACUUUGGGAUAACUUCAGGAAACUGGGGCUAAUACCGGAUAGGAGCUCCUGCUGCAUGGUGGGGGUUGGAAAGUUUCGGCGGUUGGGGAUGGACUCGCGGCUUAUCAGCUUGUUGGUGGGGUAGUGGCUUACCAAGGCUUUGACGGGUAGCCGGCCUGAGAGGGUGACCGGCCACAUUGGGACUGAGAUACGGCCCAGACUCCUACGGGAGGCAGCAGUGGGGAAUAUUGCACAAUGGGCGGAAGCCUGAUGCAGCAACGCCGCGUGCGGGAUGACGGCCUUCGGGUUGUAAACCGCUUUCGCCUGUGACGAAGCGUGAGUGACGGUAAUGGGUAAAGAAGCACCGGCUAACUACGUGCCAGCAGCCGCGGUGAUACGUAGGGUGCGAGCGUUGUCCGGAUUUAUUGGGCGUAAAGGGCUCGUAGGUGGUUGAUCGCGUCGGAAGUGUAAUCUUGGGGCUUAACCCUGAGCGUGCUUUCGAUACGGGUUGACUUGAGGAAGGUAGGGGAGAAUGGAAUUCCUGGUGGAGCGGUGGAAUGCGCAGAUAUCAGGAGGAACACCAGUGGCGAAGGCGGUUCUCUGGGCCUUUCCUGACGCUGAGGAGCGAAAGCGUGGGGAGCGAACAGGCUUAGAUACCCUGGUAGUCCACGCUGUAAACGGUGGGUACUAGAUGUGGGGUCCAUUCCACGGGUUCCGUGCCGUAGCUAACGCUUUAAUACCCCGCUGGGGAGUACGCCGCAAGGCUAAACUCAAAGGAAUUGACGGGGCNCCGCACAAGCGGCGGAGCAUGCGGAUUAAUUCGAUGCAACGCGUAGAACCUUACCUGGGUUUGACAUGGAUCGGGAGUGCUCAGAGAUGGGUGUGCCUCUUUUGGGGUCGGUUCACAGGUGGUGCAUGGCUGUCGUCAGCUCGUGUCGUGAGAUGUUGGGUUAAGUCCCGCAACGAGCGCAACCCUUGUUCACUGUUGCCAGCACGUUAUGGUGGGGACUCAGUGGAGACCGCCGGGGUCAACUCGGAGGAAGGUGGGGAUGACGUCAAGUCAUCAUGCCCCUUAUGUCCAGGGCUUCACGCAUGCUACAAUGGCUGGUACAGAGAGUGGCGAGCCUGUGAGGGUGAGCGAAUCUCGGAAAGCCGGUCUCAGUUCGGAUUGGGGUCUGCAACUCGACCUCAUGAAGUCGGAGUCGCUAGUAAUCGCAGAUCAGCAACGCUGCGGUGAAUACGUUCCCGGGGCUUGUACACACCGCCCGUCAAGUCAUGAAAGUUGGUAACACCCGAAGCCGGUGGCCUAACCGUUGUGGGGGAGCCGUCGAAGGUGGGACUGGUGAUUAGGACUAAGUCGUAACAAGG